UACGUAGGGUGCAAGCGUUGUCCGGAAUUAUUGGGCGUAAAGAGCUCGUAGGCGGUUUGUCGCGUCGGCUGUGAAAACCUGGGGCUCAACCCCGGGCCUGCAGCCGAUACGGGCAAACUAGAAUUCGGUAGGGGAGACUGGAAUUCCUGGUGUAGCGGUGAAAUGCGCAGAUAUCAGGAGGAACACCUGAGGCGAAGGCGGGUUGCUAGGCUGACACUGACGCUGAGGCGCGAAAGCUAGGGUAGCAAACGGG
rnacentral:rRNA from 1 species